CUUUAAUAAUUUAUAUCCUAACAGAAAUCCCAUAAUCUACUGUCAGUAAAUUAGUAAAAAAGUUUAACGAAACUGGUUCACUAAAAGAUUUAUCCAAAUCAGGGCGCAAAAAAGCUGCAUCAACUGAAAACAAAUAUUUAGAUGUUUGUGUCCUUUUAGAAGAUAAUCCACAAGUGAGUACGAAACAAAUAUCCAGGAAACAUCCAUUUGACGUGAUAAUAAAUUCCAUCCAUACAAAGUGAAGUUGGUUCAAGAGUUGUCAGAUGACAUGAAAAGUUUACAGCCCUAAAGAUGGAAAAAUGUUACAAUUAAAACUAUUCAAAUUUUUCAAGUAAUGUUAUGUUUUGCGAUCAGGCCACUUUUUAUAUUAAUGGAAACUUAAAUCGGCAUAAUUGUAAAUACUGGUCACGUAACAAUCCUCGUUGUAUGCGUGAAUCCCACACCCAAUAUCCCGAGAAACUGAAUGUUUGGACUGGAAUAAUAGGCGACAAAAUAAUUGUUCCCUUUUUCAUUGAGGGUAACUUAAAUGGUCCGGCUUAUUUAGAUUAAUUGGAAAAUAGUAUUAUACUUGAGUUAGCUCGGAUAUUUCCAAAUACAAAAAAUAACAAUAUCCCAAACGACAAUAUUUGGCAACAUCAAGAUGGUGUCCGCGAUCACCCGACAUGCAUCCUUUAGACUAUUUCCUGUAAGGUCACUUAGAAAACAUCGUUUAUAAAACAAAACCUGCCAAUAUUCAGAAAUUAAAAGAUAUUAUUACCACAGAGAUAAAAAGAAUUGAGCAGUCAGGGAUGUUGCAAAAUGUAUUACAAAGUUUUAAGUAUCUGCUGUAAUCUCCUCCACUGUAUGUUUUCUAAAGGUUUGUCUUCAAUUGUUGUAGGUUUUUUGCGCCAUGAUUUGGAUAGGAAGAUUUUACUGCACCAGUUUUACUAAUUUGACACUAGACCUUGUUACGAGAUUUGUAGUACUAAAUAAAUUAUUAAAGAAUAUUGAAAUCAAACAAA